rnacentral:ncRNA from 1 species
GGGUGCAGCAAACUUGUUGCAGGAAUCUGAAAGGUCGGGCCGCCUUUUA